CCCCGCUUUACUUUGCAAGUCGAACCGCAGCACGGGGGCAACCCUGGUGGCGAGUGGCUUUCGGGUGAGUAAUAUAUCGGAACGUACCCGGAAAUGGGGGAUAACGCAGCGAAAGUUGCGCUAAUACCGCAUAUGCCCUGAGGGGGAAAGCGGGGGAUCCGCAAGGACCUCGCGUUUUCGGAGCGGCCGAUAUCGGAUUAGCUAGUAGGUGGGGUAAAGGCCUACCUAGGCGACGAUCCGUAGCUGGUCUGAGAGGACGACCAGCCACACUGGAACUGAGACACGGUCCAGACUCCUACGGGAGGCAGCAGUGGGGAAUUUUGGACAAUGGGCGAAAGCCUGAUCCAGCCAUGCCGCGUGAGUGAAGAAGGCCUUCGGGUUGUAAAGCUCUUUCAGCCGGAAAGAAAGCGCAUGGGUGAAUAACCUGUGUGGAUGACGGUACCGGAAGAAGAAGCACCGGCUAACUACGUGCCAGCAGCCGCGGUAAUACGUAGGGUGCGAGCGUUAAUCGGAAUUACUGGGCGUAAAGCGUGCGCAGGCGGUUUUGUAAGACAGAUGUGAAAUCCCCGGGCU
rnacentral:rRNA from 1 species